rnacentral:lncRNA from 1 species
GGACAGACCAGCAACACUCUCAGAGAGAGGACUUUGAGCUGUUAAACUUUAAAAUAUUCAGCGAGGGGAGUUCCCAUCAUGGCGCAGCAGAAACGCAUCCGACUAGGAACCGUUUUGAUGGAGGGAAAUUUACCAGCUAGUCUGUAAGGGACGGAACCUUCUGGUGGGCCUGCCGCUGCGUCUGAGGAGAAAUUCCAUCGCCUGGAGGAGCACAGCCUGCCUCCCUGAGGGAUGCGGCGGGCACCGCUUUUCCCCCCCUUAGGAGGGAACAGCUUUGUUCCCAGCACUGUGGCUCCUUGUCAGGUGGAGACACAGCUAUUCUGGGCGCAAGGCUGGGAUUCAGACAGUGGAUGGUGCAUCUGGAUGCCAAGUGGCCAGAGGGCUGCAUGGUGCCCUUGGCUUUGCCCGAAGCUCCCCCCCCACCCCCGCCCUCUGCUCUGCAGAACCCCCCCCCCCACCCCACCCCCGCCUCCCCUGCUGACCGCGUCGGGCUCUGCCCCCUGGACUGACAUGGAGAGGCCGGAGCCUGUGCCAGGGCAGGGGGCUGCUCUUUCCUGCUGGCUCCACGUCUGCCACGGGUCUCCGAGGGUGGCCGGACAGCAGGUCUUCAAUCCAGGAGCUUCAGUGUCUCCUAGAAGCAGUGGCUGGAUUGAGCUUGAAAUUCCUGCGACAUGUGCAAAGCUGGCUGGUGUCCCCACUCGGGGGUCUGGGCUCCCGGCUGACAGGACCCCUGCCCUGCAGUCAGGGCAGCACCCAGCAGGGGUCCUUGGCAGACCCUGACUCUCCAGGGCCUUGCGGGCUGAAUGUCCUCCCCCGACUCAUGCUGAAGUCUAAACCCCCUGGGGCCUCAGAAUGUGACUUUAUUUAGAAACACGGCCAGCCUGACGCGGUCUGGGCAGGGAGCCUCGGCACUUGCAGGAAAGUUCCACAGAUCUGUGUCCCCACAGCCUUGAUGGAACCGAGGCCGGGAGCCAUGCUAGACACCUUUGCAUUCUCAUCCUUGCUCUGACUUGUCACAGAUGACCUCUUUUCACCCAGAGUCUGCUUCUUUCCUUCUGCAAAAGGAAAAUGACUAGGUGCCAGCAUAUUCAGUGGAUGCUCAUUUGGUUGCACUUGAAAAUGUUCACUUACUGUAACGGGCUCGUUAUUGUGGGAAUGUAACUGGAACCUAGACUGCUACGACCUCAGGAAACAGGAACGACGCUGGGCACGAAGGUUCACUUUGCCCCACGGCAGCAGCCCCUCCCCCGGGGAAGGGGAAGGAAGCCCCCUCCCCUCCUGUCCCCCCUCCACCCCCACCACACACACCGGUGGUGGCUGGGUCUUUGGGAACCUGAGAGGCUUCCAAUCAAAGGCCCUUAACGGGUCCCCGGAGAAACUAAAACCUAUCAACUCAAACACACAGAAAUGCACUGUCUGCCCUGCAGCGUUCUCCCCAGUCCCCUAAAAUCUGGAGGAGUCAAGAACUGACCAGGACAGGGCCCUGGGCUGCUGUGUGUGGGACACCCGGCCUCAUGAAGCCUGCGUGGGCUUGUCCACAACCAGGCGGUAAGGCUGUAAGCAUCUCGAAAGCUGGCGUUCCCGUCGUGGCUCAGCAGUUAGUGAACCCGACGAGCAUCCAUGAGGAUGCAGGUUUGAUCCCUGGCCUCGCUCCGCGGGUUGGGGAAUGGAGCAUUGCCGUGAGCUGUGGUGUAGGUGGCAGAUGCGGCUCGGAUCUCACGUUGCUGUGGCUGUGGUGUAGGCCAGCCACCUGGGAUUGGACCCCUAGCCUGGGAACCUCCAUAUGCCGCAGGUGUGGCCCUACAAAGACAAGAAGACACCCCCUCAAAAAAAAAAAAAAAAGAUAAGAAAAGGCUGUAAGCCUCUGGAAAGGUGAAGAAGAAGGGGGGGGGGGGUCAGUGCUCCGUGGAGGGACUGGCUGAGGUGAGGGCUCUGACGCUCUUUUGCCCGAUGUCUGUUAUGCUUUUUAAAAAGCUGAAUAAAAUGCAGGUCGGUGUUCAUGCAGCGCUCAGCGUGGCAGGCAGGGGCUGGGUUUGAUCUUAAAGAUUUGGACUGGACUCUGUUCAACACACGGGCCUAAAAUAAUUAGAAAUGCAAUUAGAAAUGUUAGCCCUUUCAGCGGGAGCAAGGCUUAGACUCAUCUGAGACCUAAUUUUCAAGCCGCAGCAGAGCUGUGUUCCAGAAACCUCAUGGGGGUUUGGUUUCCCUCUUUGGAGGAACGUUUUAUGGCCCUGUGCGACUUUAGAAGCAGCCCAUCGCCAUGCGGGGCACACGCGGGCCUAUGAGCCAUGUUUGAAAUUUCUAACUUCAGCCUCUGAACAAAGAAACUAUUCUGCUGGAUAAUAAGACAUAUUUACUGGGAAGAAAAUGGCAGGCUUAUUGUAAGUUUUACAACAUGUAAAAACGCGAUGGGAUUUUUUUUAGAUCCAAAAUAAUUUAUAGCGCUUAAUGUUUCUCAGUUGGCGCAAAAACACAGAGCCAAGGCCAACACUCCAAUCAAAAAAGUGGGCAAAGGAUAAGAACAGACAGUAAUGGUACCUGAAGAUUCUGAAAUAUGAAAAAUAGGAAAAGACGGUCCCCGCAUUCAGCGUAAGAAAAAUGCAAAUUAAAAAACUCCAGCGAGAUGUCAUUUUCCAUCCAGUACCGGGGCAGAAGUCCGGAAGCUGUCGGUUCUGUCCAGGGGUGAGGCUGUGGGGAAACAGGCGGGGUACACACUGCCGGUGGGGUGGGGACGCCCACGGGCGCAGCGAUGCUCCAUUUGGCCGGAGCUUCCAGAAUUGUCAUGAAUCCCCUUCUGCAGCUUCAGCCUCCAGUGAGACUCGCACACGUGCAAAAUGACGCGUCUACAGGACCUGGCACCGCAGCCGCGUCUAGCGUCUAUACCCACGGAGCACUGGCAGCAGCCCCGCUUCCACCCGAGGGAAUGUCAACUGAGCAGCUUGCAUCACUGUCGUAGCAGCUGUCGGGGGACACGCUCUUCCAGGUGAUAGGGGACACUGCCCAGUGUAUUUCGGCCAAAUAUUUCAUGAGCUUCGGAAUCAUCCCUCCAUCCCCUCGCUCAUCCUGGGCUCCGGCAGCUUUCGGGGGAGAGCGUGCCGACGCCUCGUGGCCACGGACUCUUUGCUUCUGUCUCUAAGUCUCUGUUGUGGCCCCAACAGGAAAGCAAAGAAGAGGCCCGCCCUCUCCACGGGUGCUCUCUCUGGCAAAUGCUGGUUUGGUGAACUAUUCCAGAAAGUCGCUGGGCCUUGCUCGCAAGCUUAGAGUGUCGUCACUUCCAAAAUUCAGCCAUGAGACUCGAACAAGUGAACUGACAGGACCUUGGCUCCACUGCUCUGAUUCUCCACGAGUUCACGCCACGAAAUGACCCUGACAUUACAUUUCCACGCUUGUUUUUUCAGUAAUCCCUACGCUCAUCCAUUCUAAUCCCAGGCCUGCUAAAAUAUCAGAAAUAAAAAUUCCCGGAUGCGAUAACCCAAAUAAAAUACUAAAACAGA